rnacentral:rRNA from 1 species
UAGGCGAACGGGUGAGUAACACGUGAGCAACCUGCCCUAUACAACGGGAGUACCUACGGGAAACUGUAGUUAAUACGGUAUAAGACCACACAGUCGCAUGGCUGAGGGGUAAAAGGAGAAAUCCGGUAUAGGAUGGGCUCGCGGCGCAUUAGCUAGUUGGUGAGGUAACGGCUCACCAAGGCGACGAUGCGUAGCCGACCUGAGAGGGUGGACGGCCACACUGGGACUGAGAUACGGCCCAGACUCCUACGGAAGGCAGCAG